rnacentral:lncRNA from 1 species
GUUGAGCCACAAGGAGUUUAGGUCCCUCUUCACAGCACAGAGAGCCACCGGUGAGGCCUUUCAGCAAGGAGCCACUUGAUCAUGGUGCUUCCUGAAGUCUGCUAGAACCUCAGCGUGCCAGCCCUGGAGGUCAGAGAGGACACAGCAGGGACCAGAGAGGUGUCGGGGUGCCGGAAAACUCUGUUCACGCUGGAACAACACUGGUUUCUGUGCCACUGGGCGUAAGCAGAGCAGAGCUUGCCAAGUUAGCCCCCAGGUCUCUUUCUCCUGCAAACACGGCCCUGGUCUAGACAGAAGAACUGUAUCAGCCAAUUACCAGCCCCUGGAAAAGAGCCUCAGCCCGACAUGUGGGGACGAAGCCAAGAGUCGUAGUCUGGCCCCUAGACAGAACAGCACAGCCACGCAUCCCUUCCACUCUCUAACCCAGCUCGGCACACUGACUACUUCCUCAGGAGCACUCCAUGCCACUGUGGCCAUACCGACCACAUCUCAGUCCAGCUGGUCCCACGGCUGAUGACACUAGCCCAUGAUGCAGCUCAUCUGAGAAUGUGAGCUCCUAGGUAAGAGAGGAUUGGAAACAUUGGAAUCAUGGAUGGGAACACCCUCAGCCCACGAGCCAGUCUCCAUAGAUCAGGACCCUUUGAACUUCAAGAAUCUCAAUUUGAACCUCUUGAUUGCUGUGGUGGCUUGAAUACACUUGGCCCAGGUAGUGGCAGUAUUAGGAGAUGUGGCCUUGUUGGAGCGGGUGUGGCUUUGUUAGAGGAAGUGAGUCACUGUAGUGGUGGGAUUUGAGACCUUCCUCCUAACCAUGUGGAAGCCAGUCUUCACCUAAUGGCCUUCAGAUGAGGAUGUAGAACUCUCACCUCCUCCUGCACCAUGUCUGCUGGAUGCUGCCAUGUUCCUGCCUUGAUGAUAAUGAACUGAGCCUCUGAACCUAUAAGCCAGCCCCGAUUAAAUAUUGUCCUUAUAAGAGUUGUCUUGAUCAUGGUGUUUGUUCACAGCAGUAAAACCUUAAGACAAUUGCAAAGGUGUUUGGAUCUGUCAAGAGUAUGAACAGAGCUGCCUCUUUGAUUAUUCUUUCUUCCCCUUCUUCCCCCAUCUUAUUUCUACCUUUUUUUUUUUGACAAAGAGUUUCAUUUGUUCCUGGUGCCAAAACUUCCUUUACAAAGAUGAAGAAGGUGGCAUCCCCCUUAUGUAGACUAGACAGGCCUUGAACUUCCACUGCUCCUAGCUUUGCACUGAGCACUGGGUGACAAGCAUGUAUCUCCACACCAGCUUGGAAGUGUAUUUUCUCUAGUACUGUGGGGCCAAAGUUCAGGGAGGAUUCAUUUAGCAUCAUUGGCCACAGAUCUUCCUAAGCCAAUUACUGCGGGCUGAGGAAUAGGGUCACAUGGCCACAGCAGGAUCAGCCCCACAUCAGAACUGCAGGAAGGCCACGAAACAGUGGUGUACUGCUAAAGGACAAGAAAGAAGGAGAAGAAAAGAGCCAUUACCAGAGGACCCUCCUGACACCUGAGCCUGACCUGGGGCUGUCAUCUCUGGUGGCUUGUGAGCCCUGUUCUGGUUGACAUUGCAGACUGAGAACUCCCCAAUCAAAGCAACUUUGGUUGUUGGGCUCCUGUGUUCUGGGUACUGCUGUGGAACUCGUUCAGUCUCAUGACAGCCCUUAAGAACAAGAGAGAAGGCUGGGGUUGCAGGACUAACAGUUCUGCCCAGGGAACUCUAUACAAGGGCCUUGAAACCUUAAAGGCAGCAGAAACUGAGACAUCCACAUUGGGCUCACCUGUGACAGGGUAUUGGCAGUCCCCAGGGAGCACGUGGGCCCCUUAUGUGGCAGAGUGGCACAAGGCACAUUAUUCCUAGCCUGCAUCCAAUGUCAGUCACGUUGCCUGGUACCCCACCCUGUUCCCGAAAACCAAAGGCGCCCCUUCCAGAGAAAAAAGAAGACAGCCUCUUCAUUAAUAGCGCUGGCGGCAAGCCAUCCCUUUAUCUGGCUUUCAUUAGAGCCUGGGCCGCGCCUCUUUUGUGGGAGAGACUUGAGGGAGCCGAGGCAGUUUCCCGCCGCUGUGAUGUUGCUAAAGAUUAAAAAGGAGCUUUGAAGCUGCACCAGCGCUGCCUGCGCCCCCUCGGAACAGGACCUCAGAAAGACCCGCGCCAUCUGGCAAACCUGACAUAAAGACAAAAUAAAGUGAUUGAAACAGUCUCUUCAAAGCCACAAUGGCAGAUUUGUUGAUUUGGGCGUUAUCUUUCAUGCGAGGCCCUCAGAAGUCACCAGAACACCUAGAUAACCUCAGGCAGGCCUGACUGGAGUGGAUAGAGCCUUCCAGGCUGAAGCUUGCCGAGAGAGAGGACUGGCUGGAACUGGUGGGGGCUGAGAGACGGACUGAUGGCCACCGGAGGUGGCUUUGGGUCACUCAACAAUUGAAUGUAGAGGGUUCAAUCACUGGGACUCUGCCUCACCUGUGUGUUCCCGUGUUCCCUCAGGAAGAGCACCGGAUGCUGGUGGAAGUAGAGCCCCCGUGGGAAGCUGAUACGGGGAUGCAUGUGGAGAGGGCAAGAGAUGGAAAGGCCUUACCCUGGUUGCAGCUGACAGCCUGUUAGUGGUGCCAUGACACUGUUGUCAGUGACAAUCCUGGCUGGGCAGGUGCUUCCAGGCUAGGUCCCACCAGACAAUCUCAGCCAACUGAGCCCAGCAAGUUACUACUGACCUCUAAUAACACCCACCAUGGCUGGAAUUUGGCUCACUGUGUGCGUGAGCCUGGGCUCCUUCAUUGGAGAAACUGCUGUCAUGAUCGGACCCUUACAUUCUGUUAGGUGGCAGUGUUGAGCCUACAGCUCCCAGUCUUGAACCAAGAAUGUUCUGUUGAGCUAAUGGGGUGGCUUAUACCUGUGAGCCCAGUGCUUCAGGGGUGGAGUUAGAAGAAUCAAUGGUUCAAGGUCCCUCCCAACUACACAGCAAUCUUGGACUACAAAAGACCGGCUCUCAAAAAAAAAAACAAAAAACAAAAAACAAAAAACAACAACAACAACAAAAAGCAAAUGAACAAACUGCCUUGGACAGCAGUCUGGAGAGGGCAACACAAACACCAACUGAAUAGACUGAGCUUCAGCCCAAGGGCUUAGGGUGACACCCCACAUCCCCACCACCCAUGCAACUUCUCCUAGUAAGAAGAUGCACGGGCUGGAAUGGGAAGAAAAGAAUGGUAAGGGGGCUCAGCAAGCACUAUUAAGGGGCUCAAGUGGAGUGUGGGGAGCAGAACAGCUGGCCCUCCAUUCCCGCCACCUGACCACCGUGACUAGUUCAGCUUCGUCUCCACACAAGGCACCCAAUUCAACCCCUGCCUUUAUUUUAAGGCCUUGCUAACCAAACGCGUGCACAACUUAGAAGGUAGGAUGGCUGGAGGCCUCCA